rnacentral:rRNA from 1 species
GACAGAGGGUGCAAACGUUGUUCGGAAUUACUGGGCGUAAAGCGCGUGUAGGCUGCUUCGCAAGUCGGGUGUGAAAGCCCUGGGCUCAACCUAGGAAGUGCACUCGAAACUGCGAAGCUCGAGUCCUGGAGAGGAAGGCGGAAUUCUCGGUGUAGAGGUGAAAUUCGUAGAUAUCGAGAGGAACACCGGUGGCGAAGGCGGCCUUCUGGACAGUGACUGACGCUGAGGCACGAAAGCCAGGGGAGCAAACGGG